GACUUCCACUAGAGAGGCUCUGAAUAACAAAACCAUCAAACCCUUGUUGAAUGCAUUCAACCAGAUUCCUGGGAGUGAAAAUGAAAAAAAGUGCACCUUGGACCAAGCUUUUAGAGUUAUUGUAGAAGAAGAAAUAAUAAACAAAGCUCCAUGUGAAAACCUCCUGGCAAUUAUUUCUCUUGCUAUUAAUGGAGUCACAGAAGGUA